AACGAACGCUGGCGGCAUGCCUAACACAUGCAAGUCGAACGAGACCUUCGGGUCUAGUGGCGCACGGGUGCGUAACGCGUGGGAACCUGCCCUUAGGUUCGGAAUAACUCCCCGAAAGGGGUGCUAAUACCGGAUAAUGUCUUCGGACCAAAGAUUUAUCGCCUUUGGAUGGGCCCGCGUUGGAUUAGCUAGUUGGUAGGGUAAAAGCCUACCAAGGCGACGAUCCAUAGCUGGUCUGAGAGGAUGAUCAGCCACACUGGGACUGAGACACGGCCCAGACUGCUACGGGAGGAAGCAGUGGGGAAUAGUGGACAAUGGGCGAAAGCCUGAUCAAGCAAUGCCGCGUGAGUGAUGAAGGCCUUAGGGUUGUAAAGCUCUUUUAAACGGGAUGAUAAUGACAGUACCGGGAGAAUAAGCUCCGGCUAACUCCGUG
rnacentral:rRNA from 1 species